UAUAACCAAAUCAAAGGAACUUGUUUUUUAAUCGAUAAUACUCGAUAAAUUUAACUUUUUAUUAAAGCUUAUAUACCGCCGUUUAAACUAACUUCAAAUAACUUUUUACAACCCUAUUCAAAAGUUCAGGUCAAGGUGUAGCCCAUUAUUUAGUUAAAAUAAGUUACUAUAAAACCUAUUUAUAGAAAUAAAAUAAAUUUAAAUAAAAAAGGAUUUAAAUUCAAUAAUUUAAUAGUAAUAAAUUAUGAAAAUCAUUUGAAC
rnacentral:rRNA from 1 species